GCCAAAGUAGCUCAGUUGGGAGAGCGUUAGACUAAAGAUCUAAAGGUCCCUGGUUUGACCCUGGGUUUCGACA